rnacentral:tRNA from 1 species
GCGCUUGUAGCUCAGUUGGAUAGAGCAACAGCCUUCUAAGCUGUGGGUCAAGCGUUCGAGUCGCUUCAAGCGUGCCA